CAAGGUCUCAGCCUAGCAGAUGGCCUCUGUUCUCCAGGGCGGCGACAUGGACUUGGCCUAAGCCCAGUGGAGAGACGCUGCGGACAGAGGCCGUGGGAGGUUUCUAUACCAAGGGCUGGAUGUGACCAGUUAAGAGUCAGAGUGACACAGUGAGCUUGAAGAGAGAAAGAUGCAAAUUCUUUCCUUCUAAUUGGUCUUUACUAGUCUGUAGCUUUGUGAGCCCUGGAAGCUGACACCAAGAAGCACAUUCUCAUCCACUAAGAGUCCAGGGGCAUCAAAGACAGAGCCAGGGGCUGCCCUCGAGUGGCUUCAUGGGCGCUGGGCAUUGCCUAUGGGAGCAGACAGCAAACAUCAGAGGUCUGUUGGGUGGACCCUCAGUCCCAUGGUUGAUGUCCUUAUAUGAAGAGGAGAGGACACACGUGACACUGGAGGCAGACAUUGGAGUGAUGCAGCUACAAGCCAAGGAGCGCCAAGGUGCUGGGUGCCAGGAGAAGCUGGAAGAGGGCAGAAGGCUCCUCUCUCAUAAGAACUCUUGAGAAGGAAAUUUAAGGACCAAGAAAGGCAAAGAAAAAGCAGAAAGAAUGGGGAAAAUAAAUAAGAAAUUGACAUGAAGAUCAUGAUCAUCCUUGAAGGCGAAGGCAUGAGAUGGUUCUUAAGGGCUUGAUUUCACUCUGAGGCACAUUUAAGCUAGAAAAUCGACUUUCUUUCCUUGUGACUAUGUUCUAACAUGCACUCUCUGGCCACUACCCAUUUUCUUUCUUUUGGCUUCUAGAUUUUUAUUAAAAAAAAUAAAAUUAUUUGAAGUACCCCAUUCCUACCCAACUCAUUCCCCUGCCACCUCAGAGAAAGCUACCAUCCUGAAGUUGGCAUAUACUUUUCUCUAUGGUC
rnacentral:lncRNA from 1 species